rnacentral:rRNA from 1 species
CCUACGGGAGGCAGCAGUGGGGAAUCUUGCGCAAUGGGCGGAAGCCUGACGCAGCAACGCCGCGUGCGGGAAGAAGGUCCUCUGGAUCGUAACCGCUUUCAGUGGGGACGAAGCCUCCGGGGUUAAUAGCCUACGGGGUGACGGUACUCACAGAAGAAGGCCCGGCUAACUACGUGCCAGCAGCCGCGGUAAUACGUAGGGGCCGAGCGUUGUCCGGAAUUAUUGGGCGUAAAGCGCGUGUAGGCGGCUUGGUAGGUCUCGCGUUAAAGCCCGCAGCUCAACUGCGGAAUCGCGUGGGAAACCACCUCGCUAGAGUCCGGAAGAGGAGUGUGGAAUUCCUGGUGUAGCGGUGAAAUGCGCAGAUAUCAGGAAGAACACCAGUGGCGAAGGCGGCACUCUGGGACGGUACUGACGCUGAGACGCGAAAGCGUGGGGAGCGAACAGGAUUAGAUACCCUGGUAGUCCACGCCGUAAACGAUGGGCGCUAGGUGUGGGAGGUGUCGACUCCUUCCGUGCCGAAGCUAACGCAUUAAGCGCCCCGCCUGGGGAGUACGGCCGCAAGGCUAAAACUCAAAGGAAUUGACGG